rnacentral:rRNA from 1 species
GGUUAAGCGACUAAGCGUACACGGUGGAUGCCCUGGCAGUCAGAGGCGAUGAAGGACGUGCUAAUCUGCGAAAAGCGUCGGUAAGGUGAUAUGAACCGUUAUAACCGGCGAUGUCCGAAUGGGGAAACCCAGUGCAAUUCGUUGCACUAUCGUUAACUGAAUACAUAGGUUAACGAGGCGAACCGGGGGAACUGAAACAUCUAAGUACCCCGAGGAAAAGAAAUCAACCGAGAUUCCCCCAGUAGCGGCGAGCGAACGGGGAGCAGCCCAGAGUCUGAAUCAGCUUGUGUGUUAGUGGAACGGUCUGGAAAGUCCGACGGUACAGGGUGAUAGUCCCGUACACCAAAAUGCACAGGCUGUGAACUCGAAGAGUAGGGCGGGACACGUGGUAUCCUGUCUGAAUAUGGGGGGACCAUCCUCCAAGGCUAAAUACUCCUGACUGACCGAUAGUGAACCAGUACCGUGAGGGAAAGGCGAAAAGAACCCCGGCGAGGGGAGUGAAAAAGAACCUGAAACCGUGUACGUACAAGCAGUGGGAGCACCUUCGGGUGUGACUGCGUACCUUUUGUAUAAUGGGUCAGCGACUUAUAUUCUGUAGCAAGGUUAACCGUAUAGGGGAGCCGCAGGGAAACCGAGUCUUAACUGGGCGUUAAGUUGCAGGGUAUAGACCCGAAACCCGGUGAUCUAGCCAUGGGCAGGUUGAAGGUUGGGUAACACUAACUGGAGGACCGAACCGACUAAUGUUGAAAAAUUAGCGGAUGACUUGUGGCUGGGGGUGAAAGGCCAAUCAAACCGGGAGAUAGCUGGUUCUCCCCGAAAGCUAUUUAGGUAGCGCCUCGUGAACUCAUCUUCGGGGGUAGAGCACUGUUUCGGCUAGGGGGUCAUCCCGACUUACCAACCCGAUGCAAACUACGAAUACCGAAGAAUGUUAUCACGGGAGACACACGGCGGGUGCUAACGUCCGUCGUGAAGAGGGAAACAACCCAGACCGCCAGCUAAGGUCCCAAAGUCAUGGUUAAGUGGGAAACGAUGUGGGAAGGCACAGACAGCCAGGAUGUUGGCUUAGAAGCAGCCAUCAUUUAAAGAAAGCGUAAUAGCUCACUGGUCGAGUCGGCCUGCGCGGAAGAUGUAACGGGGCUAAACCAUGCACCGAAGCUGCGGCAGCGACACUAUGUGUUGUUGGGUAGGGGAGCGUUCUGUAAGCCUGCGAAGGUGACCUGUGAGGGUUGCUGGAGGUAUCAGAAGUGCGAAUGCUGACAUAAGUAACGAUAAAGCGGGUGAAAAGCCCGCUCGCCGGAAGACCAAGGGUUCCUGUCCAACGUUAAUCGGGGCAGGGUGAGUCGACCCCUAAGGCGAGGCCGAAAGGCGUAGUCGAUGGGAAACAGGUUAAUAUUCCUGUACUUGGUGUUACUGCGAAGGGGGGACGGAGAAGGCUAUGUUAGCCGGGCGACGGUUGUCCCGGUUUAAGCAUGUAGGCUGAUUGUCCAGGCAAAUCCGGAUAAUCAAGGCUGAGGUGUGAUGACGAGGCACUACGGUGCUGAAGUAACAAAUGCCCUGCUUCCAGGAAAAGCCUCUAAGCAUCAGGUAACAUCAAAUCGUACCCCAAACCGACACAGGUGGUCAGGUAGAGAAUACCAAGGCGCUUGAGAGAACUCGGGUGAAGGAACUAGGCAAAAUGGUGCCGUAACUUCGGGAGAAGGCACGCUGGUGUGUAGGUGAAGCCCCUGCGGGUGGAGCUGAGACCAGUCGAAGAUACCAGCUGGCUGCAACUGUUUAUUAAAAACACAGCACUGUGCAAACACGAAAGUGGACGUAUACGGUGUGACGCCUGCCCGGUGCCGGAAGGUUAAUUGAUGGGGUUAUCCGUAAGGAGAAGCUCUUGAUCGAAGCCCCGGUAAACGGCGGCCGUAACUAUAACGGUCCUAAGGUAGCGAAAUUCCUUGUCGGGUAAGUUCCGACCUGCACGAAUGGCGUAAUGAUGGCCAGGCUGUCUCCACCCGAGACUCAGUGAAAUUGAACUCGCUGUGAAGAUGCAGUGUACCCGCGGCAAGACGGAAAGACCCCGUGAACCUUUACUAUAGCUUGACACUGAACAUUGAGCCUUGAUGUGUAGGAUAGGUGGGAGGCUUUGAAGCGUGGACGCCAGUCUGCGUGGAGCCAACCUUGAAAUACCACCCUUUAAUGUUUGAUGUUCUAACGUUGGCCCCUUACCGGGGUUGCGGACAGUGUCUGGUGGGUAGUUUGACUGGGGCGGUCUCCUCCCAAAGCGUAACGGAGGAGCACGAAGGUUAGCUAAUCCUGGUCGGACAUCAGGAGGUUAGUGCAAUGGCAUAAGCUAGCUUGACUGCGAGCGUGACGGCGCGAGCAGGUGCGAAAGCAGGUCAUAGUGAUCCGGUGGUUCUGAAUGGAAGGGCCAUCGCUCAACGGAUAAAAGGUACUCCGGGGAUAACAGGCUGAUACCGCCCAAGAGUUCAUAUCGACGGCGGUGUUUGGCACCUCGAUGUCGGCUCAUCACAUCCUGGGGCUGAAGUAGGUCCCAAGGGUAUGGCUGUUCGCCAUUUAAAGUGGUACGCGAGCUGGGUUUAGAACGUCGUGAGACAGUUCGGUCCCUAUCUGCCGUGGGCGCUGGAGAAUUGAGGGGGGCUGCUCCUAGUACGAGAGGACCGGAGUGGACGCAUCACUGGUGUUCGGGUUGUCAUGCCAAUGGCACUGCCCGGUAGCUAAAUGCGGAAGAGAUAAGUGCUGAAAGCAUCUAAGCACGAAACUUGCCCCGAGAUGAGUUCUCCCUGAGACUUUAAGUCUCCUGAAGGAACGUUAAAGACGAUGACGUUGAUAGGCCGGGUGUGUAAGCGCAGCGAUGCGUUGAGCUAACCGGUACUAAUGAACCGUGAGGCUUAACCUU